GAAUGAUGAAGAAGCUUGCUUCUUCUGAUUUUAGCGGCGGACGGGUGAGUAACACGUGGGCAACCUACCUUGUAGAUUGGGAUAACUCCGGGAAACCGGGGCUAAUACCGAAUAAACCAUUUUGCUUCAUGGCAAGAUGUUGAAAGGCGGCUUCGGCUGUCACUACUAGAUGGGCCCGCGGCGUAUUAGCUAGUUGGUAGGGUAAUGGCCUACCAAGGCGACGAUACGUAGCCGACCUGAGAGGGUGAUCGGCCACACUGGGACUGAGACACGGCCCAGACUCCUACGGGAGGCAGCAGUAGGGAAUCUUCCACAAUGGACGAAAGUCUGAUGGAGCAACGCCGCGUGAGUGAAGAAGGUUUUCGGAUCGUAAAACUCUGUUGUAAGGGAAGAACACGUACGAGAGUAACUGCUCGUACCUUGACGGUACCUUAUUAGAAAGCCACGGCUAACUACGUGCCAGCAGCCGCGGUAAUACGUAGGUGGCAAGCGUUGUCCGGAAUUAUUGGGCGUAAAGCGCGCGCAGGCGGUUCUUUAAGUCUGAUGUGAAAGCCCACGGCUCAACCGUGGAGGGUCAUUGGAAACUGGAGAACUUGAGUACAGAAGAGGAAAGCGGAAUUCCACGUGUAGCGGUGAAAUGCGUAGAGAUGUGGAGGAACACCAGUGGCGAAGGCGG
rnacentral:rRNA from 1 species